rnacentral:misc_RNA from 1 species
GAAAUGCGAUAAGUAAUGUGAAUUGCAGAAUUCAGUGAAUCAUCGAAUCUUUGAACGCACAUUGCGCCCGCCAGUAUUCUGGCGGGCAUGCCUGUUCGAGCGUCAUUUCAACCAUCAAGCCCCCGGCUUGUGUUGGGGACCUGCGGCUGCCCGCAGGCCCUGAAAAACAGUGGCGGGCUCGCUGUCACACCGAGCGUAGUAGCAUACAUUCUCGCUCAGGGCGUGCUGCGGGUUCCGGCCGUUAAACGACCUUCAUAACCCAAGGUUGACCUCGGAUCAGGUAGGAAGACCCGCUGAACUGAGC